rnacentral:rRNA from 1 species
GACGAACGCUGGCGGCGUGCCUAACACAUGCAAGUCGAACGCUUCAUCGCUCCCGAUUGCUUUCACUCUAUUGGAAUGGGGAGCGGGGGACGAAUACGUAAGACAUCUGUAACCUACUCCUGAGAAAGCGAUAAAACUUGGGAACAGUACCUAAUACUCCAUAACAGUUUAUGCCGGAUGGCAUGAGAGUUAUAGGUUCUUUCGGGGGUCGCUGCGGGGCGUACCCGCGGGGGGUUAGCUAGUUGGCGGGGUAACGGCGCACCAAGGCGACGAUGCAUAGGCGGCCGGAGAGGGUGAUCGGCCACACUGGGACUGAGACACGGCCCAGACUCCUACGGGAGGCAGCAGUAGGGAAUAUUAGGCAAUGGGCGCAAGUCUGACCGAGCAACGCCGCGUGGGUGAAGAAGGUGUUCGGAUUGUAAAGCCCUGUUGUUGGGAAAGAAGAAGGACGGCAUUAUCUGACGGUGCUCUGACGGUACCUAAAGAAAAAGCCACGGCUAACUACGUG